CCUGAUUGCUUCUGUAAGUCACUCUGGAUAAGAGUGUCUGCUAAAUGACUAAAU
rfam:Salmo salar isolate Sally breed double haploid chromosome ssa01, whole genome shotgun sequence.